rnacentral:rRNA from 1 species
AACGAACGCUGGCGGCAUGCCUAACACAUGCAAGUCGAACGGGAUCCUAGCUUGCUAGGUGAGAGUGGCGGACGGGUGAGUAACACGUGGGAAUCUGCCUUUUGGUUCGGGAUAACCGCGGGAAACUGCGGCUAAUACCGAAUGCCCUGAGAGAGGAAAGAUUUAUCGCCAGAAGAGGAGCCCGCGUCCGAUUAGGUAGUUGGUGGGGUAAAGGCCUACCAAGCCGACGAUCGGUAGCUGGUCUGAGAGGAUGAUCAGCCACACUGGGACUGAGAUACGGCCCAGACUCCUACGGGAGGCAGCAGUGGGGAAUAUUGGACAAUGGGGGCAACCCUGAUCCAGCAAUGCCGCGUGAGUGAUG